CCGUGCUAGACGGGGAGGUAGCGGUGCCCUGUACCUGCAAUCCGCUAGAGCAGGGUGGAAUCCCUGUCCGAGGUGCCGUCUUGUGGGGUCCGGCCGCGAUAAGCGGUGAGGAAGAUUGGGUCCUGCGCAACGUACAUUCAUGAACCCCGUCAGGCCCGGGAGGGAGCAGCGGUAAGUGGAUCCCUGCGUGUGCCGUAGGGAAGCCUGGUUGGAGCUGGCUGUCGUGGUAUCGCCCGGAAGGCUGUAUCGACGACAGGUGCACGG
rnacentral:SRP_RNA from 1 species